ACGAACGCUGGCGGCGUGCUUAACACAUGCAAGUCGAACGGAAAGGCCCUGCUUUUGUGGGGUGCUCGAGUGGCGAACGGGUGAGUAACACGUGAGUAACCUGCCCUUGACUUUGGGAUAACUUCAGGAAACUGGGGCUAAUACCGGAUAGGAGCUCCUGCUGCCUGGUGGGGGUUGGAAAGUUUCGGCGGUUGGGGAUGGACUCGCGGCUUAUCAGCUUGUUGGUGGGGUAGUGGCUUACCAAGGCUUUGACGGGUAGCCGGCCUGAGAGGGUGACCGGCCACAUGGGGACUGAGAUACGGCCCAGACUCCUACGGGAGGCAGCAGUGGGGAAUAUUGCACAAUGGGCGGAAGCCUGAUGCAGCAACGCCGCGUGCGGGAUGACGGCCUUCGGGUUGUAAACCGCUUUCGCCUGUGACGAAGCGUGAGUGACGGUAAUGGGUAAAGAAGCACCGGCUAACUACGUG
rnacentral:rRNA from 1 species